rfam:Aedes albopictus isolate Foshan contig48017, whole genome shotgun sequence.
CUAAAGUUAGUCUAGUGGUUAAGGCUAUGGAUUGCCAAUCCGGAGGCGGCGGGUUCGAUUCCCAUUCUAGU